rnacentral:rRNA from 1 species
GGUGAACGCUGGCGGCGUGCUUAACACAUGCAAGUCGAACGCUUUGGCUUUCUCGCAAGAGAGAGUCAAGGAGUGGCAAACGGGUGCGUAAUAGAUAAGCAAUCUACCCUUAAGACUGGAAUAACCUUCUGAAAAGAAGGCUAAUACCGGAUAUUAUGACUUUCUCGCAUGAGAGAGUCAUGAAAGAUUUAUCACUUAAGGAGGAGCUUAUUCCUGAUUAGCUAGUUGGCGGGGUAAUAGCCCACCAAGGCAAUAAUCAGUAGCUGAUCUGAGAGGAUGGUCAGCCACACUGGAACUGAGAUACGGUCCAGACUCCUACGGGAGGCAGCAGUGGGGAAUAUUGCACAAUGGAGGAAACUCUGAUGCAGCGACGCCGCGUGAGUGAAGAAGUCUUUCGGGAUGUAAAACUCUGUCAAGAGGGACGAUUAUGACGGUACCUCUAAAGGAAGCUCCGGCUAACUAUGUGCCAGCAGCCGCGGUAAUACAUAGGGAGCAAGCGUUACCCGGAUUUAUUGGGCAUAAAGGGCGUGUAGGCGGUUUUUUAAGUCAGAUGUUAAAUGCUAAAGCUCAACUUUAGCCUGCAUUUGAAACUGAAUUGCUAGAGAUCAGGAAAGGAAAGCGGAACUCACAGUGUAGCGGUGAAAUGCGUAGAUAUUGUGAGGAACACCAGUUGCGAAGGCGGCUUUCUGGCCUGAAUCUGACGCUGAGGCGCGAAAGCGUGGGGAUCAAACAGGAUUAGAUACCCUGGUAGUCCACGCUGUAAACGGUGUUCACUAGGUGUUGGUGGUAUAAAUUCCAUCGGUGCCAAAGAUAAUUCGUUAAGUGAACCGCCUGGGAAGUACGGCCGCAAGGUUGAAACUCAAAGAAAUUGACGGGGACCCGCACAAGCAGUGGUACAUGUGGUUUAAUUCGACGGUACACGAAGAACCUUACCAGGGCUUGACAUCUGUAGAAUCCGCUGGAAACAGUGGAGUGUCCGCAAGGAAGCUACAAGACAGGUGGUGCAUGGCUGUCGUCAGCUCGUGUCGUGAGAUGUUAGGUUAAGUCCUUUAACGAGCGCAACCCUUGUUUUGUGUUGCUAACAGUAAUGAUGAGCACUCACAAAAGACUGCCUAUGUUAAGUAGGAGGAAGGUAGGGAUGACGUCAAGUCCUCAUGCCCCUUACGUCCUGGGCCACACACAUGCUACAAUGGCCGUUACAGAGGGCUGCCAAGGAGCGAUCUGGAGCUAAUCCCAAAAAAACGGUCUCAGUACGGAUUGCAGUCUGAAACUCGACUGCAUGAAGCUGGAAUUGCUAGUAAACGCAAAUCAGCAUAUGUUGCGUUGAAUACGUUCUCGGGUCUUGUACACACCGCCCGUCACACCAUGAGAGUUGGAGGUACCCAAAGAACAUGUGCUAACCGCAAGGAAGUAGUGUUUUAAGGUAAAGCCAAUGAUUGGGGUGAAGUCGUAACAAGGUA